rnacentral:rRNA from 1 species
UACGGGGGGGGCAAGCGUUGCUCGGAAUUACUGGGCGUAAAGGGCGCGUAGGCGGCCUGCUAAGUCGGAUGUGAAAUCCCUCGGCUCAACCGAGGAACUGCAUCCGAUACUGGCGGGCUUGAAUCCGGGAGAGGGAUGUGGAAUUCCAGGUGUAGCGGUGAAAUGCGUAGAGAUCCGGAGGAACACCAGAGGCGAAGGCGGCCUACUGGGUCAGUACUGACGCUGAGCCGCGAAAGCCAGGGGAGCGAACGGG